AACGAAUGACAGCGUGCAUGUCAUUACUUGCGCGUAAUAAACAUUCCUUAAACGCUUGGUAACUGGUGAUGAAAUGUGGAUACUUUACGAAAACCCUAAACGGAAACGGAGCUGGUCCCAACGAAAUCAGCCACCUCAACGCUGUGCAAAACCAGGGUUACAUCCACGUAAAGUUCUUUUUUAGAAAAAUUAAGGGAAGCUCUAGCUGAAAAACGACCAGGUUUAGUGAAUAGGAACAACGUUAUCAGCGUCAGCAUCUAUUUCUUCCGUUAGUGAGCUG
rnacentral:misc_RNA from 1 species